rnacentral:rRNA from 1 species
UUGGAGGGCAAGUCUGGUGCCAGCAGCCGCGGUAAUUCCAGCUCCAAUAGCGUAUAUUAAAGUUGUUGCAGUUAAAAAGCUCGUAGUUGAAUUUCGGGGUCAGUAGGUUGGUCAUGCCACCGGUACGUACUGGUCUCACUGAUUCCUCCUUCCUGAUGAACUGUAAUGCCAUUAAUUUGGUGUUGCAGGGAAUCUGGACUGUUACUUUGAAAAAAUUAGAGUGUUUAAAGCAGGCGCACGCUUGAAUACAUUAGCAUGGAAUAAUGAAAUAGGACGUUUGAUUCUAUUUUGUUGGUUUCUAGGAUCGACGUAAUGAUUAAUAGGGAUAGUUGGGGGCAUUAGUAUUCAAUUGUCAGAGGUGAAAUUCUUGGAUUUAUUGAAGGCUAACUACUGCGAAAGCAUUUGCCAAGGAUGUUUUCAUUAAUCAAGAACGAAAGUUAGGGGAUCGAAGACGAUCAGAUACCGUCGUAGUCUUAACCAUAAACUAUGCCGACUAGGGAUCGGAUGAUGUUAAUUUUUUAAUGACUCAUUCGGCGCCUUACGGGAAACCAAAGUGUUUGGGUUC